rnacentral:rRNA from 1 species
GAUGAACGCUGGCGGCGUGCCUAAUACAUGCAAGUCGAGCGAACAGAUGAGGAUCUUGCUCUUCUUACGUUAGCGGCGGAUGGGUGAGUAACACGUGGAUAACCUACCUCUCAGACUUGGAUAACUUCGGGAAACCGGAGCUAUGACCGUAUAAUAUAUUCAACCGCAUGGUUGAAUGGUGAAAGACGGGUUUUCUGUCGCGUUUAGGUCGUACCGCGCUGCAUUAGCUAGAUGGUAAGGUAACGGCUUACCAAGGCAACCAUGCGUAGCCGACCUGAGAGGCUGAUCGCCCACCCUGGAGCUGAACCACGGUCAAGACUCCUACGAGAGGCAGCAGUAGGGAAUGUUCCGCAGUGGGCGAGAGCCUGACGGAGCAACGCAGCGUGAGUGAUGAAGGUCUUCGGAUCGUAAAACUCUGUUAUUAGGGAAGAACAAAUGUGUAAGUAACUGUACACAUAUUGACGGUACCUAAUCAGAAAGCCACGGCUAACUACGUG